GGGGUUGUGACUCAGCGGUAGAGCGCUCGCCUAGCGCGUGGGAGGCCCUGGGUUCGAUCCUCAGCACCACA
rnacentral:tRNA from 1 species